AUGAAGAAGAAACAAACAUUCGCUCGCUCCGUAUGGCACGAGCUCUUUGCUUGGUGUCGAUCCCCUAUUGAUCUUCCACCCUCCGACUCCACCAUCAUCGAGUGGUGAGCCUAGGCCACCAUUGCGGUUCCAUCGGCCAUGCGAAAUGGCCUGGCGUCCAUCCUCCUCCUCGCUGCCUGGCACAUUUGGAAGCUUCGCAAUUCUUGUGUCUUCGACAGCGCUCAACCAUCCUGUUGGGAGCUCCUUCAAUCCAUCAAGGACGAUGCACGGUCCUGGGCCAGGGCUGGGAAAAAAGGAUUGGCGGCCAUCAUCCCUACUUAG
rnacentral:rRNA from 1 species